UACGUAGGGGGCUAGCGUUGUCCGGAAUCAUUGGGCGUAAAGCGCGUGUAGGCGGUCCGGUAAGUCCGCUGUGAAAGUCGGGGGCUCAACCCUCGAAUGCCGGUGGAUACUGUCGGGCUAGAGUGCGGAAGAGGCGAGUGGAAUUCCAGGUGUAGCGGUGAAAUGCGUAGAUAUCUGGAGGAACACCGGUGGCGAAGGCGGCAGCCUGGACCGGCAUUGACGCUGAGGCGCGAAAGCCAGGGGAGCAAACGGG
rnacentral:rRNA from 1 species